rnacentral:rRNA from 1 species
GGGUGAGUAACGUGUAUGUAACAUGCCCUAUACAGGAGGAUAGCCUUUGGAAACAGAGAUUAAUACUCCAUAAUAUAAUUGAGAGGCAUCUUUUGAUUAUUAAAACUGAGGUGGUAUAGGAUUGACAUGCAUUAGAUUAGCUAGUUGGCGAGGUAGAGGCUCACCAAGGCUACGAUCUAUAGGGGUCCUGAGAGGGAGAUCCCCCACACUGGUACUGAGACACGGACCAGACUCCUACGGGAGGCAGCAGUGAAGAAUAUUGGUCAAUGGGCGAGAGCCUGAACCAGCCAUUCCGCGUGUAGGAAUAAGGUCUUACAGAUUGUAAACUACUUUUGUAUAGGAGGACUACUGAUACGAGAUGUUGGGAAAGACGUUACUAUACGAAUAAGCAUCGGCUAACUCCGUGCCAGCAGCCGCGGUAAUACGGAGGAUGCGAACGUUAUCCGGAUUUAUUGGGUUUAAAGAGUCUGUAGGCGGACUUGUAAGUCAGAGGUGAAAUGCUGUGGCCCAACCAUGAGUUAGCCUUUGAAACUGUGAGUCUUGAAUUAUAACAACGUUAGGAGAAUAUGACAAGUAGCGGUGAAAUGUGUAGAUAUGUCAUAGAAUACCGGUAGCGAAGGCGCCUAAUGGGUUAUAUAUUGACGCUGAGAGACGAGAGCUUGGGGAGCGAACAGGCUUAGAUACCCUGGUAGUCCAAGCUGUAAACGAUGAUUACUAGUUGUCUAUUAUUAGAUGGCCAAGCGAAAGCGAUAAGUAAUCCACCUGGGGAGUACGACCGCAAGGUUGAAACUCAAAGGAAUAGACGGGGACCCGCACAAGCGGUGGAGCAUGUGGUUUAAUUCGGUGAUACGCGAGGAACCUUACCAAGGCUUAAAUGUGCAACGAAUAUUUAGGAAACUAGAUAGUCUUCGGACGGUGUACAAGGUGCUGCAUGGUUGUCGUCAGCUCGUGCCGUGAGGUGUCAGGUUAAGUCCUAUAACGAGCGCAACCCCUGUUGCUAGUUGCCAGCGAGUGAAGUCGGGGACUCUAGCGAGACUGCCUACGCAAGUAGAGAGGAAGGUGGGGACGACGUCAAAUCAUCACGGCCCUUACGCUUUGGGCCACACACGUGCUACAAUGGUGCAUACAAAGAGAAGCGAGAUUGUGAAGUUAAGCGGAUCUCAAAAAGUGCAUCUCAGUUCGGAUUGGAGUCUGCAACUCGACUCCAUGAAGUUGGAAUCGCUAGUAAUCGUAUAUCAGCCAUGAUACGGUGAAU